rnacentral:tRNA from 1 species
GCCCCGGUAGCUCAGGGGAUAGAGCAUUCGCCUCCUAAGCGAAGGGUCGGACGUUCGAUUCGUCUCCGGGGUGCCA